CCCGGAUGUUAGCGGCGGACGGGUGAGUAACACGUGGGUAACCUGCCUGUAAGACUGGGAUAACUCCGGGAAACCGGAGCUAAUACCGGAUAGUUCCUUGAACCGCAUGGUUCAAGGAUGAAAGACGGUUUCGGCUGUCACUUACAGAUGGACCCGCGGCGCAUUAGCUAGUUGGUGGGGUAAUGGCUCACCAAGGCGACGAUGCGUAGCCGACCUGAGAGGGUGAUCGGCCACACUGGGACUGAGACACGGCCCAGACUCCUACGGGAGGCAGCAGUAGGGAAUCUUCCGCAAUGGACGAAAGUCUGACGGAGCAACGCCGCGUGAGUGAUGAAGGUUUUCGGAUCGUAAAGCUCUGUUGUUAGGGAAGAACAAGUGCGAGAGUAACUGCUCGCACCUUGACGGUACCUAACCAGAAAGCCACGGCUAACUACGUGCCAGCAGCCGCGGUAAUACGUAGGUGGCAAGCGUUGUCCGGAAUUAUUGGGCGUAAAGGGCUCGCAGGCGGUUUCUUAAGUCUGAUGUGAAAGCCCCCGGCUCAACCGGGGAGGGUCAUUGGAAACUGGGAAACUUGAGUGCAGAAGAGGAGAGUGGAAUUCCACGUGUAGCGGUGAAAUGCGUAGAGAUGUGGAGGAACACCAGUGGCGAAGGCGACUCUCUGGUCUGUAACUGACGCUGAGGAGCGAAAGCGUGGGGAGCGAACAGGAUUAGAUACCCUGGUAGUCCACGCCGUAAACGAUGAGUGCUAAGUGUUAGGGGGUUUCCGCCCCUUAGUGCUGCAGCUAACGCAUUAAGCACUCCGCCUGGGGAGUACGGUCGCAAGACUGAAACUCAAAGGAAUUGACGGGGGCCCGCACAAGCGGUGGAGCAUGUGGUUUAAUUCGAAGCAACGCGAAGAACCUUACCAGGUCUUGACAUCCUCUGACAACCCUAGAGAUAGGGCUUUCCCUUCGGGGACAGAGUGACAGGUGGUGCAUGGUUGUCGUCA
rnacentral:rRNA from 1 species